UAUUCUCUACGUUUGUGGGCUUUGUCGCGUGUUGAGUGUUUGGGCCGUGAAGUGUGAAGAUAUGUCGGGCCCAUAGAGUAUCUGUUGUCUCUAUUCCUGAUACGCAGAGAAGAAACGAGGUCCUCUUCCCUCUUUGUGCGACGGCGACUAUGUUGUUUCCUCUUUCUCUUACCUUCUGAAACGGUUUGAGUAAAGAUUUCGUGUUUAAUCUCAUUGAUUCCCCAUCUUCAAUGCUCUUUUUCGAUCUCAAAGUCGGUGAUUUCAGUAUAAAUAAGUGUUGAGUAUUCGUCUCCUUCAUCUCAUCUUAGCUUCGUAUCUCAUACAGAAAGAUUGUGUUAUGGCUAAUUCUAGGGUUUUCUUCUCCAAUCUGAAGUCCGGCAACUGCUCCUCCGUUGUCGAGGCUAGGCUUCUGCGGUUUUGGGAGGCUAGGCUUCUGCUUUUUUGGGUCGAUAUGCUUCGUGUCUCUUUUGUUUCGUCAUGAAAAGCAAGAGUUUCAAGGAGUGUCCUCAUCCAGAUGAUAAGCAGAGAACCAACUUAGCAGAGAAUAGGGUUUGGCUCCAAGACAAAUAAAGUUCUGGUUCCAGAACAGAAGAACUCAGCUUAAGGCGCAACAUGAGAGACCAUAUAACAAUGCACUAAAGGCAGAGAAGGACAAGUCGAUGUGAGAACAUAGCCAUUAGAGAAGCACUCAAGCAUGCUAUAUUCAAUUUAUGCUGACACCAUUAGUCCUGUUCUGCCUUUUCCUGCCUGCAAAAGUUGUAUUAGAAUCUGAUAUGGUUCAACAACGUGAUAGAAUCUUUAUAAUUCGUAGAAUACCAUGCAGUGCACCACCGCGAUGUUUUUGGGAUCUAACGAGAGCCAGGAAUGAACACUUUCGCAGAAAAGUUGGAUCAUUUUAAGAGUUGGGACAUGGUUGUCAUCAAAUGGGAAUCUCUCCACGCGGCCGUAAAAGUUUUCUGGAUCAUAACAUUCUUCUAUGCAUAGGUUGUAGACCUGACCAAAACAAGAUUUGGUUAAUCUGUUUAUAUAAACGAUAAUGAUUUGAUUAUAUUGUCUUAUUGACCUUGUAGUGAUUAUGAUGUCGCAUAUCAAGCACGGACUUGACUUGCAAGAUCAUCAUCAUCUCCACCUGCAAGAUCGCAGGUGUAAAGACACCAGUGAGAAAUUCUACUUCAGUGAGAGGGUCAACUUCGGGAAGAGCAUCAUCUCCUCCAGAAAAAAUCCACAAAGCCCAAGAGAAACAUAUUAAAGACGGUUGGAUCCAGAUCGAUAGCUGCAAGGGGGAAGAAAGGUUCAGAAAGAACAGGUUCUUUUUCCAAGUUAUACUAACGUACAACUUUGAAUGAAUAAACAAGUUGGAAAAGCUAUUGAGACAAAAGGAAAUUCUUCACAGAUGGUGGGAAGGUCCAAGAGAAGAUGAGGAAUCUGACAUGAAUGGGACUAUGAAACCAAAAGUUGUGUCCAGACGCUAGGAGGGCUCACGCACAAUGUAUCUGCAGUAUGUUUCCAACCGGAGCUUCCAAUAAUACCCACAGGUUUUGAGGAUGGCACUGUUCGCAUUUGGCACCCUAUGACGUAAGAGUGUUACGUACGAGUGUUUUAUUUAAAACUUUUAUUCUGUCAAUAAACAUAGCAGUGUUGUUGUUUUUUUGGUAUUUAACUUAACUAUGUCUUGAAUACAUGAGACUCUUUCUUAUAUUCAUUAUCACAGUUGGUUUGUUUU